UCCCUGCUCAAGAAGAACUCCCACUGGAAACUUUUGAACCAAGUGGGAAGAUUGUCUCGGCCUGUUCCUGUCCUGUGAAUAGAUAAUGCUGGAGUAUGGAAGGCUAUCUGUCGCUUUUCAUCAGCAUUAAGUUCACUGAAACAAAAAUAGUAAUGGCUAGCCUAUCUCUGACUUUUCACGUUCAGCCUAGGUUGAUGAGGCUGCUCACUGAAAGAGUGCUGCCUGACCUCGUGGGCAUCCUGUAUUAGAUGCCCAAGCAAGCCACAGACUUUGGAAAGAACAGCAUCAGCUAUCAGAGAUUCCUCUUUCAUGAAAGGAAACUUGCCACUGAAAUUAGGAUUCCAGAGACAAAAAGGGCACUUCCUGUUUGCACUGCUGAAAGUGCACAUCCUCAUUGGUCCAUCCAGUCAGCCUCUAGUCUAACCAGCAGAUCCUGCAUCAUCCUUGGAAGACAUCCAAGACAAGACCAUAGCUGGUGGGGAUGA
rnacentral:lncRNA from 1 species